GCGGGUGCCUUUGGGCGGGAAGCGCCGUGUGGUAGAGGGGGGGGGGAAGGCAUAACGAGUGUGCGAGGGAAAAAUCCUCCUGGCGUCCGCUAGGUGGUGCCCACAACGUGGCUCAAAUCAGCACGUGGAAAGCAGGCCCGAUAUACAGGCCUCAUAUUUCCCCCCGCAUUUCAUCCAGACCCUGGCUCGUGCAUUACCCCACUUCUUCCAAAGCAACAUUCAAAUAGUAGUUGUUGUUUUUUCUUUUAAAGUGACAUGCAAAGGACAUACCAGGUUUGUACCUCCCCCCCUCCGUCUUCCUUAUGUCAACAGCAACAGACCUGAAAAUGUCGUGGAGAUUUUCUUUGAAAAUAGUUUUGUUUGUUUUUACUUUUAGAAAUCUAGCUUUCGUGACAGACCCGGGACAAUGAAGAAACUAGUAUGAUUAUCUGAGAGACAGCAAGGUAUUGCAUAUGUGAGUUAAAGCAGGGCAAGACAAGAUGGAAACAUGAAGUCCAAUAAAACUUGGUACAUAGCACACAAGCAUUUCAAAGAACAAAACUGCGGACAGAAAACAAGAAGAGAAAAGAAGAAAAUGUAAGCAUCAUCUAGUGCCUCCUAUGAUUAUUCCCAUUCACCCCGUUCAAUUCGUUCAUCUCAUUGAGAACAAUCUCGGCAUACUUACCUUGAUUGACGGUCACCUCUUGAAAGACUUUUUUAUCGUGAUGACCACUGCCACCGAUAUUCGCCUAGUCGAUGCUCAUACUAUUACCCUCUAGGUCCCACGGAAGGUCAUGAUGUGACUGCACACCAACCAGGCAGUCCCCAACUUCAUCCCCUCCCACUCCAAUGGGCCAUCCCGUGUCUCCUCAAUGUCAGCCAUCGGAACCAGACGAUACACAGCUUUCCACCACAGAGGAACCACCACAGGAAACUUCCCCCAUGACCGUUUCUCUUCCUCUCCGGAUGAGGCCAUAAUCCCAGGAGACAUAUCCACCUGACGAUAUUCGUCAAUUUCAAGAACUUUUCAAGAGGGUAGCCAUAAGCCAAGAGAUACACAUAGAUGAAGUAAAGGAGAAACAACACCGCCUCCUUAAAAACCUUCAGCCUCAAUACAGAUAAAAAAUAGCCAUACCACUUGAUGAAGCUAUACUUGAGGUCACCGAAAAGAUGUGGCAAACCCCAGCCUCUGCUCCACCAACUAGGAAAAGAGCAGACACGAAAUAUUUUGUGCCACCCAAGGGGGUGGAGUUCUUUUUUACCCAUCCCCAACUGAACUCUUCAGUGGUAGAUACAGCAUGCCAAAGAUCGAAAGCCCCUCAAUUCAGAAAUAUCUCUGACAAUGACGUAAAGCAAUCGGACUUACUUGGUAGGAAGAUGUACACAUCCGUGACACUCAUGCUCCAGAUAGCGAACUACACAGCACACCUUUCUAACCACAUAUUUGACAAUUUCACGAAACUCACACCCCUACUAAACCAUCUGCCAGAAGCAAAGCGGCCCAUACUCAAAUUGGUGGUUCUUCUUCGAGCAGUGUCCCAUGGGUGCUCCAUUGUAGGUGUUGGGCUUGUCCCGGCGCCGCAGAUCGGAGAUCUUUUCUAGCUGUAGUCUGCCGGACCAUGCAUGCGCCAAGUACGGCUCGUGGCUUUUCGUGCCGUUUGAGCGUUGAUGGUCCGGCUCCCACCAGUUCCUCCUGACCGUCCUCGACCGCGGACGGAUUAACGUCUCUCUCGUGAACCCUGUUCACUAACACAGAGAGAGAUCACCAAUAAUUAUUAUAUACAUAGUUUAAAAGUUAUAGUUAUAAUUCUUCCUAUAGUUAAUAGUUCUAGUCGUUUAAAAAAAAUCUUUUUCUUCAGUAGUUAGUUUAUUCUUCUCAAAUGCCGGGAUUCAAGAAGUGCGGCGAAUGCCGUGAGGCAAUGCCUGCUUGUGACGGCCAUUCCAUGAGCAUUAGGUGCCUCGGGGAAGGCCACAUACCCCAAAAAUGUCCCUAUUGCUCCAAGCUGACAGCCAGAGCAAGAUGGGACAGGGACAUGCGCCUAAAUCCUCUUAUUUGACAAAGCUCUACAACCCGAGGCCAAACAAUCUAAGGAGCCCGCAGAGCAAACUAAAAAAAUAAAGAGGAAACCAUCUCCAGCACAAUCCCUUCCACCCUCAAGAUCAGGUGCAGGUGACAAGCCAGGGAUAUCAAUGGCACCGCCUGCAAGUGUUGCGGUGGCGCCUAAAGACAGCCGGAGUAAGUCGGCUCCGAGCCCCUCUAUAUCGGGCUCCACUGUCUCAGCCGUUCCCUUGGUCUCCAAACCGCUUCCAGGGACUUCCACGGCUUCGAGAACCCUGC